rnacentral:rRNA from 1 species
AGGACGAACGCUGGCGGCGUGCUUAACACAUGCAAGUCGAACGAGGCCCUACCUUCGGGUAGGUGACUUAGUGGCGAACGGGUGAGUAACACGUGGGCAACCUACCCUCAGCUCUGGGAUAACUUCGGGAAACCGGAGCUAAUACCGGAUAUGACCUUGAACGACAUCGUUCUUGGUGGAAAGUUUUUCGGCUGAGGAUGGGCCCGCGGCCUAUCAGCUUGUUGGUGGGGUAAUGGCCUACCAAGGCGACGACGGGUA